UACGGAGGGGGCGAGCGUUAUUCGGAAUUAUUGGGCGUAAAGGGCGCGUAGGCGGCUGUACAAGUCAAAGGUGGAAUCCCUCGGCUCAACUGAGGAACUGCCUUUGAAACUGUACGGCCUGAGGCCGGGAGGGGGUAGCGGAAUUCCCAGUGUAGCGGUGAAAUGCGUAGAUACUGGGAGGAACACCAGUGGCGAAGGCGGCUACCUGGACCGGUUCUGACGCUGAGGCGCGAAAGCGUGGGUAGCAAACAGG
rnacentral:rRNA from 1 species